rnacentral:rRNA from 1 species
GAUGAACGCUGGCGGCGUGCCUAAUACAUGCAAGUCGAGCGAACGGACGAGAAGCUUGCUUCUCUGAUGUUAGCGGCGGACGGGUGAGUAACACGUGGAUAACCUACCUAUAAGACUGGGAUAACUUCGGGAAACCGGAGCUAAUACCGGAUGAUAUUUUGUACCGCAUGGUUCAAAAGUGAAAGACGGUCUUGCUGUCACUUAUAGAUGGAUUCGCGCUGCAUUAGCUAGUUGGUAAGGUAACGGCUUACCAAGGCAACGAUGCAUAGCCGACCUGAGAGGGUGAUCGGCCACACUGGAACUGAGACACGGUCCAGACUCCUACGGGAGGCAGCAGUAGGGAAUCUUCCGCAAAGGGCGAAAGCCUGACGGAGCAACGCCGCGUGAGUGAUGAAGGUCUUCGGAUCGUAAAACUCUGUUAUUAGGGAAGAACAUAUGUGUAAGUAACUGUGCACAUCUUGACGGUACCUAAUCAGAAAGCCACGGCUAACUACGUG